UGAUGUUCACUUUCACAGCACAUAAUUGGAACAAUAUGGAGAAGACUGGCAUGGCCCCAGCACAAGCAUGACACAAAAUUUCAUGAAGCAUUCCAUGUUAAA